ACCAGCAUGCCAUAGUGGUUUGUGUUGGACUACAACUUCGGAGACCAGGGUUCAAUUCCCUGCUUAGCCA